AUAGCUUGCUAGUAACUGACGCUCAAAUCUCAGUAAUCGAAUUUCUUCAACUUUGAUCGGUCGGCUUCGGGAAGAAGAACAAACGACAGAAGUAAGUAGCAGACAUGUGUAGAGAGGUGGAAUUUGAUUGAAUGUGGUGGAGAAAGUGGGAAAGUAUCUUAACGAAUCGUUCUACUCUCAUCAGACAUAACAUUGGUUGAUCAGGUUCAUUGAGGGUCACUGAGUGAGAAAGAAGCUAGGAGAUAUUUCCAGCAUUAAGGGGUCUACCAUUGAGAUUUGAAGGUGUUUCAUAUCUGGCAUUCGGAAGCCUGUGGUCCAUUUACCGUCGCAUGAGAUGUCUGGUCUUGCGGGCAUUCUUUAUGGUUUUUGUUGGCAGGCUAUCUCAGCUUGAUCUUACCACCUUGUACAAUAAGAUUGGGAAGGCAGAGUUUUUCUAUCCGUUUUGGUUUCCUUUUGACGCAAAGUCCUUCUUAUAUGGGAUACUGGAUCCAAAUCCUCCAACUCGCCUUCAAAUUAAUGAAAUCAAGGAUGACCAGUGGUUUAAUAGGAGUUAAGUUCCUGUCAGGCCUAUUGAAUGUGAGGAUGUAUAUGCUUCUUUUGAUGCUACGGAGGAUCAGCAGGCUGAACCUGAACAGUGCGGAAACGAAUCAUGCCCCCUAUAACAGUAGAGAUGGUGGUCUUACAAUUAUUUCUCAAGGCCUGAACCUUUCAGCAAUGCUUGACCGUGGAUACGUAUUUACAGUGAAUUCUGCGAGGAACAUGAUUCUGUUUCUUUCUUUCCCUUUUGUGUUCAUGGGACAGUAACGUUUUCCUGUAUUCGGAAUCUUUUGAUCUUACCCAACAGGCUGCCAAAUGCCAGACGCUUUCUUUCAACCAGCUAAAGUCCUUCUGUCAAGUACAGAAGUUUUUCAACUUCCAUAUAGCCCCUUGCAUCAGUCCAUCUAAGCUUUCUUAUGAUUCCGUUUGGUCUUUCUUUUUUCAUGGUGGGCAAAAAGCAGCCGGUGAGACUGCUGAAUACCUUAUGCUUAAGUCCUCCUGUGAUCUCUAUCCAUGUAGAUGUAUCAACCAGGGAUGGUGUAAAUGUUCGGUGUUUUUUUAGUUUGUAGAAGGGGCCGAGCAGUUCUGCCCAGAUGUUGCACAGAAUCCUAAUGGCACGGAGGGGUCCAUACGGUGUUCCCUUCACGAAGUUCAAUCAUAUAGAGGA